AUUGAACGCUGGCGGCAGGCCUAACACAUGCAAGUCGAGCGGAGCGGCGGACGGGUGAGUAAUGCAUAGGAAUCUGCCUGGUAGUGGGGGAUAAAGUCCGGAAACGGGCGCUAAUACCGCAUACUAUCAGAUUAGUAUAGGUCGGCUUAGCUAUUUGGAGGGGUAAAGGCCCACCACGGCGACGAUCCGUAACUGGUCUGGGAGGAGGAUCAGUCACACGGGAACUGAGACACGGUCCAGACUCCUACGGGAGGCAGCAGUGGGGAAUAUUGGACAAUGGGCGAAAGCCUGAUCCAGCCAGGCGGCGUGUGUGAAGAAGGUCUUCGGAUUGUAAAGCACUUUAAGUUGGGAGGCGUUACCAACAGAAUAAGCACCGGCUAACUACGUGCCAGCAGCCGCGGUAAUAC
rnacentral:rRNA from 1 species